UACAGAGGUCUCAAGCGUUGUUCGGAUUCAUUGGGCGUAAAGGGUGCGUAGGUGGCGCGGUAAGUCGGGUGUGAAAUCUCGGAGCUUAACUCCGAAAUUGCAUUCGAUACUGCCGUGCUUGAGGACUGGAGAGGAGACUGGAAUUCAUGGUGUAGCAGUGAAAUGCGCAGAUAUCAGGAGGAACACCGGUGGCGAAGGCGGGUCUCUGGGCAACAACUGACGCUGAGGAGCGAAAGCGUGGGGGAGCGAACAGG
rnacentral:rRNA from 1 species